rnacentral:tRNA from 1 species
GCCUGGGUAGCUCAAUCGGUAGAGCGUGUGACUCUUAUCCUCCCAACGAGGCGGGAUUAUCUCAAGGUCGCGGGUUCGAGCCCCGCCUCGGGCU